rnacentral:rRNA from 1 species
CCUAGUAACGGCGAGUGAACAGGCAAGAGCUCAGAUUUGAAAGCCUUUUUGGCAUUGUAUUCUGAAGUCAGUUUCCUGAGUAUCGGUGUUUAAGUCUUCUGGAAAGGAGCGCCAUGGAGGGUGAUAGCCCCGUACGACACCUCACUCAUUGUAGGAUUCUGACGUGGAGUCGAGUUGUUUGGGAAUGCAGCUCAAAAGGGUGGUAUGCUCCAUCUAAAGCUAAAUAUCUGUGAGAGACCGAUAGCGAACAAGUACUGUGAAGGAAAGAKGAAAAGAACUUUGAAAAGAGAGUGAAAAAGUACGUGAAAUUGUUGAAAUGGAAGGAUAUGCCGCUAACAAUGUAGAGCCGUGUUUGGGGGGAAGACAAAAGCUGAAGAAUGUAUCUCUUUUAGGGAAUUAUAACUUCAGUCAAUAUUCCCAUCCGGGCGCGAGGACCUCAGGC